GACGAACGCUGGCGGCGUGCUUAACACAUGCAAGUCGAACGGAAAGGCCCUGCUUUUGUGGGGUGCUCGAGUGGCGAACGGGUGAGUAACACGUGAGUAACCUGCCCUUGACUUUGGGAUAACUUCCGGAAACUGGGGCUAAUACCGGCUCGGAGCUCCUGCAGCAUGGUGGGGGAUGGAAAGUUCCGGCGGUUGGGAAUGGAGUCGCGGCUUAUCAGCUUGUUGGAGGGGUAGUGGCUUACCAAGGCUUUGACGGGUAGCCGGCCUGAGAGGGGGACCGGCCACAUUGGGACUGAGAUACGGCCCAGACUCCUACGGGAGGCAGCAGUGGGGAAUAGUGCACAAUGGGCGGAAGCCUGAGGCAGCAACCCCGCGUGCGGGAUGACGGCCUUCGGGUUAUAAACCGCUUUCGCCUGUGACGAAGCGUGAGUGACGGUAAUGGGUAAAGAAGCACCGGCUAACUACGUG
rnacentral:rRNA from 1 species